GACGAACGCUGGCGGCGUGCCUAACACAUGCAUGUCGAACGGGACCGGGGGCAACUCCGGUUCAGUGGCGGACGGGUGCGUACCACGUGAGGAACAUGACCUUCGGCGGGGGAUAGCCGGCCCAACGGCCGGGUAAUACCGCGUACGACCUUUCGGGGACAUCCCUGGCUGGUGAAAGCAGCAAUGCGCCGAUGGAGUGCCUCGCGGCCUAUCAGCUAGUUGGUGGGGUAACGGCCUACCAAGGCGACGACGGGUAGCUGGUCUGAGAGGAUUGCCAGCCACAUUGGGACUGAGACACGGCCCAGACUCCUACGGGAGGCAGCAGUGGGUAAUAUUGGACAAUGGGCGCAAGCCUGAUCCAGCCAUGCCGCGUGAGUGAUGACGGCCUUAGGGUUGUAAAGCUCUUUUGUCCGGGACGAUAAUGACGGUACCGGAAGAAUAAGCCCCGGCUAACUUCGUGCCAGCAGCCGCCGCAGUAA
rnacentral:rRNA from 1 species